ACUCAUAUUAUUAUUUCUUCUUACCAAAAAAAUCCAUAUAAAAGUAUACACACUGUACUCUCAAGUAAUAGACAGGAUCACUGCUAUUUUAUUAUAACCCAGUUAACUACAUCAUGUUUGAUAGUCUACGCGUUUUCAAAAGAACCUUCAGUCUACUAUCUAUUUUCAAUCAAAUCGAAUAUUAUCUUAACUACUUUUAACGUCUUUCAAAUACUUCAUGAACAAUGUCGUUUUGACUUCUUUUACAUAAACUAAGAACAUAUUUAAGCAUAUUAAAAGCUACUUACUUUAGUAUAACCACAUAAUAACUUGAAAUAACUUAAAUCUUAAAUUUAUCACAUUUAAUGAGUGAAUUAGCUAGGUUACUCUAGAAAUUCCAGAUGAAAACUAUAUAUUUUAUAUGCCAAAUGAAAAUUUGAUUGACUACUUGCAACAUUUUCUUAAUCUUAACAUACUGAAACCGAUGAAAACCAUAAAAGGUUAAGAAAACGACAAAUUUCUAUACCUAGUAGUAAUGAACAAAAACUGCAUAGUUAAUAAACAGAUCUUGACUAUUAAAUAAGUAAACAACUCAGAGACUUUUUAAAGAUUGCAAAAACAAACUCUGUAAGAAGAAGCUUCCCAUAUUGUAUACUAGUGGUGAAGAAUCUAACUCUCUCCAAUGUGGCUUAAGCCCUAACUUCCACU
rnacentral:lncRNA from 1 species